GAUGAACGCUGGCGGCGUGCUUAACACAUGCAAGUCGAACGAUGAAGCCCAGCUUGCUGGGUGGAUUAGUGGCGAACGGGUGAGUAACACGUGAGUAACCUGCCCUUAACUCUGGGAUAAGCCUGGGAAACUGGGUCUAAUACCGGAUAGGAGCGUCCACCGCAUGGUGGGUGUUGGAAAGAUUUAUCGGUUUUGGAUGGACUCGCGGCCUAUCAGCUUGUUGGUGAGGUAAUGGCUCACCAAGGCGACGACGGGUAGCCGGCCUGAGAGGGUGACCGGCCACACUGGGACUGAGACACGGCCCAGACUCCUACGGGAGGCAGCAGUGGGGAAUAUUGCACAAUGGGGGCAAGCCUGAUGCAGCGACGCCGCGUGAGGGAUGACGGCCUUCGGGUUGUAAACCUCUUUCAGUAGGGAAGAAGCGAAAGUGACGGUACCUGCAGAAGAAGCACCGGCUAACUACGUG
rnacentral:rRNA from 1 species